UUUAUCAUUUUGAAGUCAAAUAAAAUAUCUAAGGGAGAGGGAGAGAGAGAACCGUGAAAGAGAGAUAGAGAGGGAAAGAGGAUCAUCCAUGGAAGCUUGGAAAAUUGAAGAGAUUAAAGGGAAAAAACAAGGAAUUAAGUUAAGGUCGAAACGAGGACACCGUCCCAUUGCUACGGGGAGCCGAUCACUUGGUACACAAACAUUUAUGACGAUUGGAAAUCAGUGUGAACUUAUAUGAACAUUGAAAGAUUUGCGCACAUCGGCACUCCACCUGGAGGUCAGUCUCAACCCAAGGCAUCCGUUCCUCUUAUGUCAACCUCAGGGUGUCCAGGCACUUAGAUGAAGGCUACUCAUUUUACGGAGUUUUGCUAAACUUUUGAUUUUGUACCCUGAUUGUCU